CCUACGGGUGGCAGCAGUGGGGGAUAUUGCACAAUGGGGGAAACCCUGAUGCAGCGACGCCGCGUGGGCGAAGAAGUCUCUCGGUAUGUAAAGCCCUAUCAGCAGGGAAGAAGAACUGACGGUACCUGCGCAAGCAGCACCGGCCCAAUACGUGCCAGGAGGCGCGGUAAUACGCAAGGUGCAAGCGUUAUCCGGAUUUACUGGGUGUAAAGGGAGGGCAGGCGGCACGGUGAGCCUGGUGGGAAAGACUGCGGCCCCAACGCGGGAGAGCCGUGGGAACUGGCAGGCUGGAGUGCCGGGGAGGUAGGCGGAAUUCCUGGUGUAGCGGUGAAAUGCGUAGAUAUUAGGAAGAACGCCGAUUGCGAAGGCAGCAUACUGGAGGGUAACUGACGCUGAGGCUCGAAAGCGUGGGGAGCGAACAGGAUUAGAUACCCGAGUAGUC
rnacentral:rRNA from 1 species